rnacentral:rRNA from 1 species
UACAGAGGUCCCAAGCGUUGUUCGGAUUUAUUGGGCGUAAAGGGUGCGUAGGCGGUUGCCUAAGUCAGAUGUGAAAUCUCGGGGCUCAACCCCGAAACUGCAUUUGAUACUGGGUGACUCGAGUACUGGAGAGGAGACUGGAAUUUACGGUGUAGCAGUGAAAUGCGUAGAUAUCGUAAGGAAGACCAGUGGCGAAGGCGAGUCUCUGGACAGUUACUGACGCUGAGGCACGAAGGCUAGGGGAGCAAACGGG